UACGUAGGGUGCAAGCGUUGUCCGGAAUUAUUGGGCGUAAAGAGCUCGUAGGCGGUUUGUUGCGUCGGCUGUGAAAUCCCGAGGCUCAACCUCGGGUCUGCAGUCGAUACGAGCAAACUAGAGUGUUGCAGGGGAGACUGGAAUUCCUGGUGUAGCGGUGAAAUGCGUAGAUAUUGGGAGGAACACCAGUGGCGAAGGCGGCUCACUGGACCGGUACUGACGCUGAAGCGCGAAAGCGUGGGGAGCAAACGGG
rnacentral:rRNA from 1 species